AAUCAACGCUGGCGGCGUGCCUCAGACAUGCAAGUCGAACGCGAAAGUCCCCUUCGGGGGAUGAUUAGAGUGGCGCACGGGUGAGUAACACGUGGGUAAUCUACCUUCGAGUGGGGAAUAACUCAGGGAAACUUGAGCUAAUACCGCAUAAUGCAGCGGCACCACAUGGUGACAGUUGUUAAAGCAUUUAUGCGCUUGAAGAGGAGCCUGCGGCGGANAGCUAGUUGGUAAGGUAAUGGCUUACCAAGGCUACGAUCUGUAACCGGCCUGAGAGGGCGGACGGUCACACUGACACUGAAUAACGGGUCAGACUCCUAC
rnacentral:rRNA from 1 species